rnacentral:lncRNA from 1 species
AGAGAGACCAGUAAUGCUGCUGGACUGAAGCCUAGGGCUUCUCAGAGAACCCUUGCCUUUUCCUACACCUUCAUUCAGGUUGGUGGAGGCAGAUAGAGGUCUUAGCUGGCAGGUUUUGGAUUUUAUACUGGCCUGGCUGGGGUCCAAGUUUACACAGGCCAUUCUGAGCCUAAGUGGGGGGCGGGAAGUGUGGGGUUGGCACUGUCCCUUUGAUGCAGCAGUACAUCUGAAAAAGAGAUGCACCUGCCUGAACUCUGAGAUUCUACAGUCCUAGUUUCCUUCGAGCUCACAAGUACCGUGGCCCGCUUCCUCCCAUAUAGUGGCACCUCUCUAAAACCCCAAGCCCUCCAAACUAGAUUUCUAUUAUAGAAAAACGGAUGGCAGGUUGCUUAAGCCUAAGUCAGUUCUAAAGAGACAGCCAGCAACGGCAGGAGGGGCUGGGCUUCGUAGCCCCAAAAGCCGUUAAAAGUUCUUACAUAAGCGGCCAAACCCUGGGCAGAAGAACUACCUGGCUAAUUCCCCAGACCACCCUCCCCUCAAAACCCAGCUGCCAGAUCACCUCCCCAAGCUGCUGAGCACCAGCAGAUGGGGUAGAGAAAGAAGUCCAAAUCCCCUGGACCGGAAGGACAGUAGGAUUGCAUUUCAAACUGCGAUACAAUCCAGAGAUUAGCCGCUGUCUCUUUUUUCAGCUCGUUCCCUUGAGGCCCAGUUCACUGCCCCAACUCUUUCUCCAGGGACCCUCAUUCAUUGCCUUUCAGACCCCCUGCAUUGGGGUACAAGUCUUUCCAAGGAGUGAACAGCAGCCGCCUCACUGGAUCUCAGUGCCUGGUGAGAAAGUGCAAGUACCUUCCCCUAGUCCUAGGGAGACACUCAAUCCGGACACCCACACCUAUUGAAUACAUUCUAGGAAGAAGAAAGCUGAGGAGAAAGCGCCGUUGGACCGGGACUCCAACAAGCACUUUUUGUACCCCAGAGGUCGGAGCCACUUGUACCAAGCGUCGCUGAGUGUGUAGUAUAGGUCGGAUCUUAGAUAAAAUGUUAGGGAGCGAUAUUACAACCUGCGCCCUCUCUCCAGCUCCCCGGAGUAACGCGGCACUGAACUGUUUGCACAGUGCCCGCCUGCAUCCGCCAGCCAAGAGUCAGGUGUAUGACAGUCUAACUGCGUCUGGGGAAGUGCAAUGGCAGUAGAGGGGACCUGCCUCUGGCCUCCCCCGCAGCGCUACCCGGUCUCCCGGCGUUGCCGCGCCCUUCUCUGCCGCCCGCCCCGGAUGCGCCCGCGCGCCUUGCCCUGGGCGUCACCUCUCCGGCUCGUAGCCGGCCUGCAGCAGGCGGGCGCUGUACCGCUGCGCCGCGGUCUCAUGUCCCGGGUGUUGCCGGGCUCCGGGCUCUGGAGCGGCAGCCGCUCCACCUCCCUGCAGCAGCGGCGAGAGCAGCCCGGACUCCGGUGGGGGUGAGAGCGGUUCCUCCAUGCCAUGCGGAGGCCGCAGCUCUAGGCGGCGGGAGCCUCUCCGCGUGGAGGCUCCCGAACCGGCGUAGGCAAUAAGAGCCCCAGUCCGCUCCCGGAGGGAGCGGGGUAGUGGGCGGGGUCUACUGGAAGGGGCGGGGCUGGUUGUUGGGAGGCGGGGCUCUGGAAGAGCUGGUUUGGGGUCCUGGAGUCCAUAGGGCUCCGCCCUUGGCACUACGCUCUGUUCCGCCCCCAUGAGACGCCACUCAGGCUGAAAAGUAAGCAGAUGAGCAGAUGGUGAGGUGGAGCGAGGUUUGUGUUCUUCAAGGACCCAACUGAAGAGGACCCUCCGCUGUACCCUGUGUCGUGCACCUUCGAGUUUCUCCUGGUUUCAUCUGAGGAAAAGGAGCGCAAACACCAGGGUAAUGAACUAUUAUUGCAUGGCCUCUUGGAGUGCUUCCAGUCCUGGGCAAGAGAGGUGGGACACUCCAGCAAGCCCUACCUAUUCAACAACCCUCACCAUUUCUUUAUACUGCUACCCAGGGAAGACAAACAGGCUACUAGCUCCUGAAGGAAAAGACCCUAGUCUUGCCCUGCUUAUAGUCUUCCUUUACAGGGAAGUAGGGCUGAGCACACACGCACUAACUCGCAUUUGCUCAUCUGCUGCCUAGAAAACACUUUCUAUUUCAGCUUUGUUACUAUUGUCAGCUUUCAUAAAGCAACUCUCUGGGAAAGCAAGAAGAGUUACUGCCUUCGGGCAAUUUGUUCGAGGAGGCCGAGUAGAUAGAAAACAAACAACUGACAAUUCUUACACUGAAUACUUUUUUUUUUUUUUUAACAUCUGACGAUCUCAGGAAUAAAUAAUAGACGCUUGGUGAUCUGGGGCUGUUAAGAUGGCUCAGUGAUUAAGAGCACGGGUUGCUUUUCCAUAGGACCCUGGUUCAAUUCCUAGCACCCAUAUGGCAGCUUACAACUGUCAGGUUGUAACAGGUGAUUCGUUGCCUUCUUCUGGGUUCUACAGGCACUGCAUGAACAUGCUGCACAGAUAUACAUGUAGAAAGACACCUACACAC